UCUGUGCUCCUGUAAGUCAUCGCAGUAAACUCCUUAGUCAAACCAAAUGGACAGGAUUGUUCCUCUGCCGUGUCACUGUUGCCCUCUUGCUCACAUGUCCCCAAGGAAAGUCACGUGACAUGCACAGGAAGGAAAAUACCGGAAGCUGGUACAUCACAGUGAAAGAACUUUACCUCACUCACUGAUUUGGUCACCUCGACGGUUAAAAAGCACGGUCCAGGGGCCCAGCCAGGACCCUUGACUGCUCCACAACAUGCAAGGUGACAGAAAGUGAACCAGCUCCACGCAGGCCGGGCCAAGUGUGAGGAGCAACCUCGCUUUAGGACACCUCUAGGACCACCGUGGAGCCUCCAUCAGAAGACGGAGCCUCUGAUGAUCUAGUCUCCUCCUUCUGCCUCAACACAGCCAUGCCAGGGAACGAGCUUCUGAGAAUGAACUCUGGGAGAGCAGACUGCAGACGUGGAGAAAACAACAAGGAAAGGAGCCCCAAAGGAGGCUCCACAGCACUCGUCCUGCUGGGUGAGGCCUCAGCGCACACAUGGCUACUCCUUUCCUCUCUCAGGCUGCCAGCACUCACAGAAGAAGAACAAGGAACUUUCCAGGACUGACAGGGAGAGGUAUCCAACAUCUUUUCUGUUGAAAGUCAUCCAAGUUGGUGGAGUCUUAGCAAACCUCAGCGGUUCCCGCUGUGGAAGAUUAAAGCGUGGUUUGUGAACUUCUCUCA